rnacentral:rRNA from 1 species
UACGUAGGUGGCAAGCGUUGUUCGGAAUUAUUGGGCGUAAAGGGUGCGUAGGCGGCGGAGUAAGUUGGGUGUGAAAUCCCGGGGCUCAACCUCGGAAUGGCAUUCAAUACUGCUUCGCUAGAGUACUGGAGAGGAGGCUGGAAUUUACGGUGUAGCAGUGAAAUGCGUAGAUAUCGUAAGGAAGGCCGGUGGCGAAAGCGAGCCUCUGGACAGUUACUGACGCUGAUGCACGAAGGCCAGGGGAGCAAACGGG